UACGGAGGAUGCGAGCGUUAUCCGGAUUUAUUGGGUUUAAAGGGUGCGCAGGCGGCACGGCAAGCCGGCGGUCAAAUCGCGGGGCUCAACCCCGCCCAGCCGUCGGAACUGCCGGGCUAGAGUGGGCGGGAAGUGCGCGGAAUGCGUGGUGUAGCGGUGAAAUGCAUAGGUAUCACGCAGAACUCCGAUUGCGAAGGCAGCGCACCGGCGCCCUACUGACGCUCAGGCACGAAAGCGUGGGUAUCGAACAGG
rnacentral:rRNA from 1 species